CAGCAGCCGCGGGAAUACGUAGGGUGCAAGCGUUAAUCGGAAUUACUGGGCGUAAAGCGUGCGCAGGCGGUUUUGUAAGACAGAGGUGAAAUCCCCGGGCUCAACCUGGGAACUGCCUUUGUGACUGCAAGGCUGGAGUGCGGCAGAGGGGGAUGGAAUUCCGCGUGUAGCGGUGAAAUGCGUAGAUAUGCGGAGGAACACCGAUGGCGAAGGCAAUCCCCUGGGCCUGCACUGACGCUCAUGCACGAAAGCGUGGGGAGCAAACAGGAUUAGAGACCCCCGUAGUCCCUGUCUCUUAUAC
rnacentral:rRNA from 1 species